rnacentral:ribozyme from 14 species
AGAUUUCAUGUUCUCUAAUUCUUCUUCUUCUUUUUCGUUUUAUCUUUCUUCUUAAACGCGUACCGAUACACUUUUCGUAAGACAAUCAGAAAGAGAAGAAA